rnacentral:rRNA from 1 species
UACUAGAGUAGCACUCGCAUAUCAAUAAGCGGAGGAAAAGAAACUAACAAGGAUUCCCCUAGUAACGGCGAGUGAAGCGGGAAGAGCUCAAAUUUGAAAUCUUAAAGGGUUUCCCUUACGAAUUGUAGUUUAAAGAAGUGUUUUCUGAUGAGGUUUUGGUAAAAGUUCUUUGGAAUAGGACAUCAUAGAGGGUGAGAAUCCCGUAUUUGACCUUUACUUUCAACUUUGUGAUACACUUUCAAAGAGUCGGAUUGUUUGGGAAUGCAGUCCAAAAUGGGUGGUAAAUUUCAUCUAAAGCUAAAUAUUGGCGAGAGACUGAUAGCGAACAAGUACCGUGAGGGAAAGAUGAAAAGAACUUUGAAAAGAGAGUUAAACAGUACGUGAAAUUGUCAAAAGGGAAGCGCUUGGACACCAGUGUUGUUUUUCUGAAAAUCAAUUAAAGAACUGUUUAUGCUAAGUUGUUUAGACUUUAUCAGCUAUCUGUUUAGUUUUGAGCUUUUCUUUAAUGCACUUUUCAGUUAACAAGUCAACAUCAAUUUCUUUUGCUGUAAAAAAGCUUGAGGAAGGUGGCUUGAGAUUCGUCUUAAGUGUUUAUAGCCUCUUGCCUAUGCAGUCGGAGAGAUUGAGGUCUGCAGCGUAGAUCCUUCGGGGCUAAAUGCAUUUGUGCUAAGUUAUAGCAUUUUAUAGACAACUUGUUGACUAUGAUUUGUCUUGUAGCUUACUCGCUUAUGUUAUUUUACCUACGCUUAGGAUGUUGAACUACUGAGACAUAGA